rnacentral:tRNA from 1 species
GUUCAUGUAGCUUAUAGUAUAAAGCAAGGCACUGAAAAUGCCUAGAUGAGUUUUAUAACUCCAUAAACA